ensembl:lncRNA
CGCGCUGCUCCGUGUGGCAAAUCGAGCGCACCUCUCUGCGUUUCGAACACGCGUCACAAGAGGACCCGAGGGAAGCUCGGAAAGCUAAGUAGAAGUUAUUUGGAGAGGAGAGGAUAAUGGCUGCUGAAGAAAGAAUGCCGUUGGUUGAAAAGAGGUAAAACGACUUCAGUGGUGUGGAAACCAAUGUUCCCUCUAAGCUGCGCACGUGCGCAAUUGCGCACUGCUGGCACGGUCUCUGCGCACAGAAAAUCUGCAUUGCGCACAAAAAAAAUCGAACCUGAAUUGAAAUUAAAAUUAAAACUUUAACAAUUCUGUUUUGCAGUGUUAGUCAGUAAGUGACUGGCUGCUCCUGUAUGGGAUUAGAACGAUGCCACCUUAUCCUAUAGUCCAGCCAAUAAUGCGAUUCACAUUCGUAUAUACGCAGCUAAUCAACGUGGUUGACAGGCUAUGACAGCGUCCUUAUGUGCCUACACCGGUGUUUUAGCUGGCAAAGCGACGUGGCUGAUGUGGUGUGAAGCCACGUUAAUGACAACGUGUACAACCAUUGGAGGUGUGAGCAGGACAGACGGAACAAUAGGGCUUUGGAGUUGACGUCACUGGAGGUGGGCCACGCCCCCUUUCCGCCAUGACAGUAGGCUAGACACAGGAUACAGCUUCAGCUAUGGUUCGUACGUGUUGUGUUAUCAGUUGCAACGUUUGAUCACACGAUCGUGAAGGCAAGAAGCUGGAUAAUGAGCUCUCUUUUCAUCGUUUUUCAACCUGGAGGCAACGUGAGGGAUCCCAUGUAUCCGAUAUUACUAAACAAAGACGUCAGGCUUGCAUUGCAGCGGUGAGACGAGCGGAUCGAGUUCUGUGCAAUCCCCAGCUUUUUGUUGGUUUGGUCUCCGCAUCUUUUUUCCGGCUUUUAUGCAGCUGCAGAGUCUGAAGGUGUGCCCGUGCAGAAGUAAUCGAUGAAGAUCUGACAGAAGAACAACAACAAAAUUACAAUGUCAUAGCUGUGGACAGCAGUUGUGUUGGACAAGUGGAGGUUGAGGUACCACCUGUAAAUGUGGACAGUGGUGAUGGGACAGACAGCAUCACAGAAGCUAAAGGGCAGACGAAGCAUUGUGUGUGCAAUGAACAGGGCAGAGCAGAAAUAAACACAACACUGCUUGAUAAGAUUGUUAAGGUUUGCUGUGUUUUGGUGAAUAUGUGCCCCAGUGUGGUUGUCAAACCAGCGCCAAAUGAAACUUGCUCUUGUUGAGUAUUCAUAAAGCUGUUGUGUUGCAUGUGUAGUUCAUUGUAAAUAAUUGUACUUUGUGUGAAGUAAUUUCAAUAAAAC